UACGAAGGGGGCUAGCGUUGCUCGGAAUCACUGGGCGUAAAGGGUGCGUAGGCGGGUCUUUAAGUCAGGGGUGAAAUCCUGGAGCUCAACUCCAGAACUGCCUUCGAAACUGGCGAUCUUGAGUCCGGGAGAGGUGAGUGGAACUGCGAGUGUAGAGGUGAAAUUCGUAGAUAUUCGGAGGAACACCAGGUGGCGAAGGCGGCUCACUGGUCCAUUACUGACGCUGAGGUGCGAAAGCGUGGGGAGCA
rnacentral:rRNA from 1 species